rnacentral:rRNA from 1 species
ACGGGUAACGGGGAAUUAGGGUUCGAUUCCGGAGAGGGAGCCUGAGAAACGGCUACCACAUCCAAGGAAGGCAGCAGGCGCGCAAAUUACCCAAUCCCGACACGGGGAGGUAGUGACAAUAAAUACUGAUACGGGGCUCUUUUGGGUCUCGUAAUUGGAAUGAGUACAAUCUAAAUCCCUUAACGAGGAACAAUUGGAGGGCAAGUCUGGUGCCAGCAGCCGCGGUAAUUCCAGCUCCAAUAGCGUAUAUUAAAGUUGUUGCAGUUAAAAAGCUCGUAGUUGAACCUUGGGUCUGGCUGGCCGGUCCGCCUCACCGCGAGUACUGGUCCGGCUGGACCUUUCCUUCUGGGGAACCUCAUGGCCUUCACUGGCUGUGGGGGGAACCAGGACUUUUACUGUGAAAAAAUUAGAGUGUUCAAAGCAGGCCUUUGCUCGAAUACAUUAGCAUGGAAUAAUAGAAUAGGACGUGCGGUUCUAUUUUGUUGGUUUCUAGGACCGCCGUAAUGAUUAAUAGGGAUAGUCGGGGGCGUCAGUAUUCAGCUGUCAGAGGUGAAAUUCUUGGAUUUGCUGAAGACUAACUACUGCGAAAGCAUUCGCCAAGGAUGUUUUCAUUAAUCAGG